CCACCAGCUAGCCUCACUUGGCCUGUGGGCUGGUCACUCCUCGACAAACCUUAACCUGUCUACAAGAGGGACCUGAUGUGAGAAAAACUGAAUUCUGUGGCAGUGUUCCGAGCCAGCAUGUGAAAAGGUCUAGCUACCCUAAUGGAGAAACCGUGUGGAAAGAGAGAGAGAGAGAGAGAUGCCUGGCUACCCACUGUCUCUUGAGCUCUUACAACUGAGGCACCAGACAUGCAACUUAGGUCUCUUGGAAGUGGAGUUGGAAGGCCAAGUGAGAGCAUUUGGAAAAGUGGUCAAGAAGAGGGCAAUAUGCUAGUAUUAGGAUGAGUCAUCAUGUAAAAGAAAGAAUCAUCUUGGUAAGGCACUGUAUCUACAUUAAAGCAUGCAUCCUCCCAAAGUACAACUCUGCCUGACAACUCAAGUAUUACUCCAAGCAUCCUGGAUUCAGAAUCUACCACUCUACCAGUAAUUCUAUACCCACUAGCUCAUGAGUCUAAGUCUACCAUUAUAAAGCCCACCAUAUACAGGAUGGAUCAAGGAUCGACGUAGGAAUUGGAGAGACAGAACCUAUAUGUUGAAGAUACCAGUACCAAUACUGAUAUAGGCUGGAGAAGAUAAAGGGUCAACUCUUCCACAGCCUACUCUCUAGCAGAUAUUUCUGGAGGAAAAAAAAAUGCUGCAGUAAGAUAUUUUCAUACUUAAAAAAACAAAAUCCAUUUAAAAACAAAAUACUGUAAUUCUGCUGGAAAAUUUAUGAAUGGCUCAUUGACAAUUCCACCUGCCACAAAAAUAAUCAGGCAUUGGGGCCAGCUGGUGGCACAGCAAGUUCACACAUUCUGCUUCUCGGCAGCCCAGAGUUCG